UACGUAGGGUGCAAGCGUUGUCCGGAAUUAUUGGGCGUAAAGAGCUCGUAGGCGGUCUGUCGCGUCGGCUGUGAAAACCCGGGGCUCAACCCCGGGCCUGCAGUCGAUACGGGCAGACUAGAGUGCGGUAGGGGAGACUGGAAUUCCUGGUGUAGCGGUGAAAUGCGCAGAUAUCAAGAGGAACACCAGUGGCGAAGGCGAGUCCCUGGACGAUACCUGACACUGAGGCACGAAAGCCAAGGGAGCAAACAGG
rnacentral:rRNA from 1 species